CUACGAGACGACGCUGGCGGCGUGCUUAAUACAUGCAAGUCAACUUGACUUUAGAUAGCAAUAUCGAAAAGUAGGGUGGCGCACGGGUGCGUAACGCGUAGGUAAUCUGCCCUGAGGUCUGACAUAACCCGUCGAAAGGCGGGCUAACAUCAGAUGAUAUAUAAUCACGACAUCGUGGAAAUAUCAAAUCUUCGGAGCCUUGGGAUGAGCCUGCGUCUGAUUAGGUAGUUGGCGGAGUAAUAGCCCACCAAGCCUACGAUCAGUAGCUGGUCUGAGAGGAUGAUCAGCCACACUGGAACUGAGACACGGUCCAGACUCCUACGGGAGGCAGCAGUAAGGAAUAUUGCUCAAUGGGGGAAACCCUGAAGCAGCAACGCCGCGUGAAGGAUGAAAUACUUUUGUAUGUAAACUUCUGUAAGAUGGGAAAAAUAUUCUCCUCGGGAGAAUUGAUUGUACCAUCAGAGUAAGCCCCGGCUAACUACGUG
rnacentral:rRNA from 1 species